rnacentral:snRNA from 11 species
AUCACCGAGCUCAACCUAUUACGUGCUAAUUUUUCGCCUUUUACUAAAGAUUACCGUGGGUUGGGCUCAUACCGGUGACUUACAGAAAUUUUUAGAGGUCGAAAGACCCCCAACCA